rnacentral:rRNA from 1 species
AAUCAACGCUGGCGGCGUGCCUCAGACAUGCAAGUCGAACGAUUAAGACUUCCUUCGGGAAGUGCAUAAAGUGGCGCACGGGUGAGUAACACGUAAGUAAUCUACCCUCGAGUGGGGAAUAACGUUCGGAAACGAACGCUAAUACCGCAUAACGCAGCGGCACCGCAAGGUGACAGUUGUUAAAGGAGCAAUCCGCUUGAGGAGGAGCUUGCGGCAGAUUAGCUAGUUGGUAAGGUAAUGGCUUACCAAGGCUACGAUCUGUAUCCGGUCUAAGAGGACGGUCGGACACACUGACACUGAAUAACGGGUCAGACUCCUACGGGAGGCAGCAGUCGGGAAUUUUGGGCAAUGGGCGAAAGCCUGACCCAGCAACGCCGCGUGAAGGAUGAAGUAUUUCGGUAUGUAAACUUCGAAAGAAUGGGAAGAAUAAAUGACGGUACCAUUUAUAAGCUCCGGCUAACUACGCGCCAGCCGCCGCUGUAAAAC